GAUGAACGCUGGCGGCGUGCUUUACACAUGCAAGUCGAACGGCAGCGCGGGCUUCGGCCUGGCGGUGAGUGGCGAACGGGUGAGUAAUAUAUCGGAACGUACCCAAGAGUGGGGGAUAACGUAGCGAAAGUUACGCUAAUACCGCAUACGAUCUAAGGAUGAAUGCAGGGGAUCGCAAGACCUUGUGCUCCUGGAGCGGCCGAUAUCUGAUUAGCUAGUUGGUGAGGGAAAGGCUCACCAAGGCAACGAUCAGUAGCUGGUCUGAGAGGACGACCAGCCACACUGGAACUGAGACACGGUCCAGACUCCUACGGGAGGCAGCAGUGGGGAAUUUUGGACAAUGGACGCAAGUCUGAUCCAGCCAUUCCGCGUGCAGGAUGAAGGCCCUCGGGUUGUAAACUGCUUUUGUACGGAACGAAAAGGUCUCUCUUAAUACGGGGGGCUCAUGACGGUACCGUAAGAAUAAGCACCGGCUAACUACGUGCCAGCCGCCGCCGUAA
rnacentral:rRNA from 1 species